AUUGAACGCUGGCGGCAUGCCUUACACAUGCAAGUCGAACGGCAGCACGGGUGCUUGCACCUGGUGGCGAGUGGCGAACGGGUGAGUAAUACAUCGGAACAUGUCCUGUAGUGGGGGAUAGCCCGGCGAAAGCCGGAUUAAUACCGCAUACGAUCUACGGAUGAAAGCGGGGGACCUUCGGGCCUCGCGCUAUAGGGUUGGCCGAUGGCUGAUUAGCUAGUUGGUGGGGUAUAGGCCUACCAAGGCGACGAUCAGUAGCUGGUCUGAGAGGACGACCAGCCACACUGGGACUGAGACACGGCCCAGACUCCUACGGGAGGCAGCAGUGGGGAAUUUUGGACAAUGGGCGAAAGCCUGAUCCAGCAAUGCCGCGUGUGUGAAGAAGGCCUUCGGGUUGUAAAGCACUUUUGUCCGGAAAGAAAUCCUUGGCCCUAAUACGGUCGGGGGAUGACGGUACCGGAAGAAUAAGCACCGGCUAACUACGUG
rnacentral:rRNA from 1 species